rnacentral:rRNA from 1 species
GUGGGGAAUUUUGGACAAUGGGCGCAAGCCUGAUCCAGCAAUGCCGCGUGCAGGAAGAAGGCCUUCGGGUUGUAAACUGCUUUUGUACGGAACGAAACGGUCCUGGUUAAUACCUGGGGCUAAUGACGGUACCGUAAGAAUAAGCACCGGCUAACUACGUGCCAGCAGCCGCGGUAAUACGUAGGGUGCGAGCGUUAAUCGGAAUUACUGGGCGUAAAGCGUGCGCAGGCGGUGCUGUAAGACAGGCGUGAAAUCCCCGGGCUCAACCUGGGAAUUGCGCUUGUGACUGCAGUGCUGAAGUACGGCAGAGGGGGAUGGAAUUCCGCGUGUAGCAGUGAAAUGCGUAGAUAUGCGGAGGAACACCGAUGGCGAAGGCAGUCCCCUGGGCCUGUACUGACGCUCAUGCACGAAAGCGUGGGGAGCAAACAGGAUUAGAUACCCGGGUAGUCC